AAAAGAUGAUUUUAUGAAAUAAAGCGAUGGCAAGCAUUUUGGGAUCCAUGCUUCUUGAUUCUUGAAUGUGAUUUUCCUUAAGCAUGGAUAUAGACAACUAACCUUGGGGCAAAAGUGAAAUCCUUUCAAAACCCUUAGCAUCCCUCGAGUAUUUGUUGUCCACUAACAAUUUGUAGGGAAUAAAAAAGACAACCAAGGAGCAGUAUUCAACAACUCUGACACUUCUACAAAGCUCCUU
rnacentral:lncRNA from 1 species